rnacentral:lncRNA from 10 species
AACCGGAGGGGCCCCGGCCUCUGGGACGGAGCGGCGCCCCCGGGAACUCGCUGGAAACGCGAGUUCUCGGCCUUCGCCCAGACCCUCCGAAUCGAAACUCCUGCGGCGCGCGCUGCCAGCCCGAGGGCCCCGCCGUCCAGGGGUCCCCUGACAUCUCACACUUGCGGACUGAAGCUGCGAGGAGCGGAGAACCCGGCCAGGGUCACGGACGGGAGCGUCCGGACUCGGGUUCUCUGGGCCCCAGCCCCCACUCCGCCCCCAGCGAAUCCAAGGUCCCCUGUAGGGAAGGGCCGUCCACACUCGUCGUGCCUGGCGCCUCCUUGAUGCCAGGCCCUGGGGAGACCUGUGGCCACAGAACCCAUGUUCUCCCUGGAGAUGGACAGGAGGCCCCUCUCCUACGCAGAAGCUGUCGUUUUUUCUUCUUAAACACCGUUUGCCCCUCCCUCCACCCACCGAGCCAUCUCUGCCCCUCUCUACAGCAAAGCUUCCGCCAAGCCGGCCCUGCUCCCUGUCUACCUCUCCUGCCACCACCCACUCACACGUUUUAAAUACAAGCCGUCGGUUCUCAGACGUUUUCUCUUUUUUUCUUUCUUUUUCUUUUUUUUGAGAUGGAGUUUCGCUCUUGCUGCCCAGGCUGAGUGCAAUGGCAUGAUGUCGGCUCACUGCAACUUCUGCCUCCUGGGUUCAAACCAUUCUCC